CACCUACUGCAUGAAUGUAUUCACCCUUUCAGGUCUAGGGACCUGGGUACCUUGGGACAGAGGGAGUGCAGAGCAGAGAAAACCUACCUGUGCAACUGAGAAGGCCGCUCAGGCCACGGGGACAGGGCAGGAAUGCUCUCAGGAGUGUCCCCUGCACCUGAACUUGAUUUCACGCCAUCACCUUCCGCCUCUUAACCAGCAUCUCCUGGACAGUCAGCCGAGUGUUUCCAUGAUACCAGCCAUACCUGAUGCCAGGAGACUCGCUACACUUGGAAGCUCUUCAAGGCAUGCUUAUCUUUGUGAACUGAAUCUUGGAGAAGCAGGAUUGAAAAUAAGAGCUAUCUUUGAGGCUCUAGCACCUACAAGAGACACCCUCCCUCUCCACCGUGGAUCACCUGUCUCACCCGUGUGAGUCUCCACACAGAAACCAGUCAUGGCCCUGCCUUUGCCCCCCUUGAAAUCACCCAAGAGGAUGCUUCAAACUCAGGCAAGCACAACUGAUACUCACUCUGCAUGCGACAGCAGGGGAGUGACCUUACGAGAAACUAAUGGGCCUCGCUUCCUGAGAAUCACUGUCAGAGCCCGUAACAUAAGAUAAAUCACAGCCAAGGAUUUUUGAAAAGUUUCCUGAUGAGAGAACCAUGACCUUUUCAAGGGUAGUGAUGGAUUGAUCAGGGCAAGCAAUAGGUAGAUUUUUUAAAACAAGCCUGGCG
rnacentral:lncRNA from 10 species